rnacentral:rRNA from 1 species
GUGGGGAAUAUUGGACAAUGGGGGCAACCCUGAUCCAGCGAUGCCGCGUGAGUGAAGAAGGUUUUAGGAUUGUAAAGCUCUUUUGACAGGGAAGAUGAUGACGGUACCUGUAGAAUAAGCACCGGCUAACUCUGUGCCAGCAGCCGCGGUAAUACAGAGGGUGCAAGCGUUGUUCGGAAUUACUGGGCGUAAAGGGCGUGUAGGCUGUUUAAUAAGUUAGGCGUUAAAGACCAGGGCUUAACCUUGGGAGUGCGUUUAAUACUGUUAGACUUGAGUACUGGAAGGGAAGAUGGAAUUUCCGGUGUAGAGGUAAAAUUCGUAGAUAUCGGGAGGAACACCAGAGGCGAAGGCGAUUUUCUGGACAGAGACUGACGCUGAGGCGCGAAAGCGUGGGUAGCAAACAGGAUUAGAAACCCUAGUAGUCC